rnacentral:rRNA from 1 species
AUGGUAGGUCUCCGGAACGGAGACCGAAGGUAUCCAAUCCUGAGUCUGAUAACGGUGCUGCAUGGCUGUCGUCAGCUCGUGUCGUGAGAUGUCGGGUUAAGUCCCAUAACGAGCGAAACCCUUGCUUCCAGUUGCCAGCGAGUAAUGUCGGGGACUCUGGAAGGACUGCCGGUGUUAAACCGGAGGAAGGUGGGGAUGACGUCAAGUCCUCAUGGCCUUUAUGCCCAGGGCUGCACACGUGCUACAAUGCAACGAACAAAGGGAAGCCAACGCG